AUACGGAGGAUCCGAGCGUUAUCCGGAUUUAUUGGGUUUAAAGGGUGCGCAGGCGGCCAUUUAAGUUAGCGGUUAAAUCGUGGGGCUCAACCCCAUUCUGCCGUUGAUACUGGGUGGCUUGAUUGCGGUCGAGGUUGGCGGAAUUCGUUGUGUAGCGGUGAAAUGCAUAGAUAUGACGAAGAACACCGAUUGCGUAGGCAGCUGACCAGACCGCAAAUGACGCUCAUGCACGAAAGUGCGGGGAUCGAACAGGAUUAGAUACCCUGGUAGUCCGCACAGUAAACGAUGAAUACUUGUUUUCGGCGAUAUAAUGUCGGAGGCAAAGCGAAAGCGAUAAGUAUUCCACCUGGGGAGUACGCCGGCAACGGUGAAACUCAAAGGAAUUGACGGGG
rnacentral:rRNA from 1 species